rnacentral:rRNA from 1 species
GACGAACGCUGGCGGCGUGCCUAACACAUGCAAGUCGAACGGAGCCAGCCCCUUCGGGGACUGACUUAGUGGCGAACGGGUGAGUAACGCGUGAGAAACCUGCCUUUCAGUGGGGGACAACAGUUGGAAACGACUGCUAAUACCGCAUAAUGUCAUUUGGGGGCAUCCUCGAAUGACCAAAGAUUUAUUGCUGAAAGAUGGUCUCGCGUCUGAUUAGCUAGAUGGCGGGGUAACGGCCCACCAUGGCGACGAUCGGUAGCCGACCUGAGAGGGUGAUCGGCCACAUUGGGACUGAGACACGGCCCAAACUCCUACGGGAGGCAGCAGUGGGGAAUAUUGGGCAAUGGGGGAAACCCUGACCCAGCAACGCCGCGUGGAGGAAGAAGGUUUUCGGAUCGUAAACUCCUGUCCUCAGGGAAGAGCAGAAGACGGUACCUGAGGAGGAAGCCCCGGCUAACUACGUG